rnacentral:miRNA from 1 species
CAGCCAUUCUGCGAUUCUGUGA